rnacentral:rRNA from 1 species
GACGAACGCUGGCGGCGUGCUUAACACAUGCAAGUCGAACGGGUCUGCCCUGUUUUUUGCGGGGUGGGUCAGUGGCGAACGGGUGAGUAACACGUGAGUAACCUGCCCCUCACUUCUGGAUAACCACUUGAAAGGGUGGCUAAUACGGGGUGUUCUGGCUGUGCCGCAUGGUGUGGCUGGGAAAGAUUCACUUUUGUGGUGUUUUGGUGGGGGAUGGGCUCGCGGCCUAUCAGCUUGUUGGUGGGGUGAUGGCCUGCCAAGGCUUUGACGGGUAGCCGGCCUGAGAGGGUGGGCGGUCACACUGGGACUGAGAUACGGCCCAGACUCCUGCGGGAGGCAGCAGUGGGGGGUAUUGCACAAUGGGCGGAAGCCUGAUGCAGCGACGUCGCGUGAGGGAUGGAGGCCUUCGGGUUGUGAACCUCUUUCGCCGGUGAAGAAGGUCCUGCUCUUUGUGGUGGGGUUGACGGUAGCCGGGUUAUGAAGCGCCGGCUAACUACGUG